rnacentral:rRNA from 1 species
AUGAACGCUGGCGGCGUGCCUAAUACAUGCCAGUCGAGCGAACAGAUGAGGAGCUUGCUCCUCUGACGUUAGCGGCGGACGGGUGAGUAACACGUGGAUAACCUACCUAUAAGACUGGGAUAACUUCGGGAAACCGGAGCUAAUACCGGAUAAUAUAUUGAACCGCAUGGUUCAAUAGUGAAAGACGGUUUUGCUGUCACUUAUAGAUGGAUCCGCGCCGCAUUAGCUAGUUGGUAAGGUAACGGCUUACCAAGGCAACGAUGCGUAGCCGACCUGAGAGGGUGAUCGGCCACACUGGAACUGGGACACGGUCCAGACUCCUACGGGAGGCAGCAGUAGGGAAUCUUCCGCAAUGGGCGAAAGCCUGACGGAGCAACGCCGCGUGAGUGAUGAAGGUCUUCGGAUCGUAAAACUCUGUUAUUAGGGAAGAACAAAUGUGUAAGUAACUAUGCACGUCUUGACGGUACCUAAUCAGAAAGCCACGGCUAACUACGUG